CCUACGGGAGGCAGCAGUGAGGAAUAUUGGUCAAUGGGCGCGAGCCUGAACCAGCCAAGUAGCGUGAAGGAUGACUGCCCUAUGGGUUGUAAACUUCUUUUAUAUAGGAAUAAAGUGAGCCACGUGUGCCGUUUUGUAUGUACCUUAUGAAUAAGGAUCGGCUAACUCCGUGCCAGCAGCCGCGGUAAUACGGAGGAUCCGAGCGUUUUCCGGAUUUAUUGGGUUUAAAGGGAGCGUAGUUGGGUUGUUAAGUCAGUUGUGAAAGUUUGCGGCUCAACCGUAAAAUUGCAGUUGAUACUGGCAGCCUUGAGUACUGUAGAGGUAGGCGGAAUUCGUGGUGUAGCGGUGAAAUGCUUAGAUAUCACGAAGAACUCCGAUUGCGAAGGCAGCUUACUAGACUGCCACUGACAUUGAUGCUCGAAAGUGUGGGUAUCAAACAGGAUUAGAUACCCGAGUAGUC
rnacentral:rRNA from 1 species